AUUGAACGCUGGCGGCAGGCCUAACACAUGCAAGUCGAGCGAGCGGCGGAGGGGUGAGUAAUGUCUGGGAAACUGCCUGAGGGAGGGGGAGAACUACUGGAAAAAGUAGCUCAUAUCGCACACCAUCUGAUGUGUCCCGAUGGGAUUAGCUAGUAGGUGGGGUAACGGCUCACCUAGGCGACGAUCCCUAGCUGGUCUGAGAGGAUGACCAGCCACACUGGAACUGAGACACGGUCCAGACUCCUACGGGAGGCAGCAGUGGGGAAUAUUGCACAAUGGGCGCAAGCCUGAUGCAGCCAUGCCGCGUGUGUGAAGAAGGCCUUCGGGUUGUAAAGCACUUUCAGCGGGGAGGCGUUACCCGCAGAAGAAGCACCGGCUAACUCCGUGCCAGCAGCCGCGGUAAUAC
rnacentral:rRNA from 1 species